CCCUGUAUUCGAAAGUGAUCGUGGGCUGCCUGUGUGUGCCCUGGUCAUUGAUAGUGCAGGGAGAGGAAGCCGAAAGCCUUUCCCCGUGUUUGGAGGAUCCACAGCUGUCCUUGCCAAACCCUGGUGCUUUCCCACA